ensembl:lncRNA
AAUCCCUGAGUUGGGAAGAUCCCCUGGAGAAGGGAAAGGCUACCCACUCCAGUAUUCUGGCCUGAAGAAUUCCAUGGACAGUCAAUGGAGUUACAAAGAGUCGGACAUGACUGAGUGACUUUCACUUUUCAUUUUCUCUUCCUUUUUCUAAAUCCAUCUUGAACAUGUGGAAGUUCUUGGUUCAUGUACUACUGAGGCCUGGCUUGGAGAAUUUUGAGCAUUACUUUGCUAGCAUGUGAGAUGAGUGCAAUUGUGUGGUAACUUGAACGUUUUUUUGGCAUUGCUUUUCUUUGGGAUUGGAAUGAAUACUGACCUUUUACAGUCCUGUGGCCACUGCUGAGUUUUCCAAAUUUGCUGGCAUACUGAGUGUAGCACUUUCACAGCAUCAACUUUCAGGAUUUGAAAUAGCUCAGCUGGAAUUCCAUCACCUCCACUAGCUUUGUUCAUAGUGAUGCUUCCUAAGGCCCACUUGACUUCGAACUCCAAGAUGUCUGGCUCUAGAAGAAGAAAUCAAGAUACAGAAUGUUAAGUCACUUGGCCAAGUGCAAAUGGCCACUAAGAGGUGGAACUGAGAUUCCGACCCAGGAAGUCUUGCUCUAGAGUCCAUCCCUUAAAAAAGGAAGAGAUAGGACAGGAAGCUAAACCUAGUUCUGAAUGACUCCAAAGCCCAGAAUUUCAUUUAAACUUCAUUUUUAAAUAACAUCAUGCUUGGAUUUUACAGAAGAUGGUUGAUCAUUUUACCAUAGUGGUCUGUGGGUGUUGUGUCCUAUUCAGGGUGAAAUAUUGGAAUUUCAGAAGCCUGCUGUCCAGAAUUCUUGCCAAGUUGUCUGGUAUCUGGAGAAUGGGUCUGACCUGCUUUGUGGAGGUGAGCCAGGCCUGCCUGAAAACCAGAAGGACUCUCAGCAAAGUGCUGCCUUCUGACCUUCUGAAAAAUAACUCUACACAGCCUUAUUAAAAAUCUGCUCACUUUUCUUGGUAGCAGUAACUCAACCCUAGAUAUCCUCUUCCUAGUAAUGGAAAAAUAUAACAGUUGAAGCUAUAAUGGUGCAAUGCACGUGCACAGGGCUUGGGCUUAACAAUGAAUAGACUGUAGGCAUUGUUAUAAAGAUUGCCAAUCUCCCUUACACUCCAUCACAAUCUCCUUUUAUUUUCUUCAUAGCCUUAAAUAUUAUUUGAAAUCAUUUUAAAGUCUUAUUUUGUAUAUCUAUGUACUAAAAUUAAGGAACAUCUCUAUCUUGAAAAGCCAGUCCAAAUCCCUUAGAAAAGUUCUUAGAUGACACAUGAAGUAUUCAAUAAGAUUUCCUGAA